rnacentral:rRNA from 1 species
AAAUUGAAGAGUUUGAUCAUGGCUCAGAUUGAACGCUGGCGGCAGGCCUAACACAUGCAAGUCGAGCGGCAGCGGGAAAGUAGCUUGCUACUUUUGCCGGCGAGCGGCGGACGGGUGAGUAAUGCCUGGGGAUCUGCCCAGUCGAGGGGGAUAACUACUGGAAACGGUAGCUAAUACCGCAUACGCCCUACGGGGGAAAGCAGGGGACCUUCGGGCCUUGCGCGAUUGGAUGAAC